AGUACCACAAUACAAUGGUGGUGUACUGGUACCUUAGUUCGAAUACUGGUACUCAAUGCUGCGAAACUUGAAAUUGCAUAGGUUGCAAUUUCCAAUAUUUACAGGGUUUUAGGGCAUUUUGUAGCAACCUAUAAGUAUUCUUUUCCCUUCUCUUUUCUUAAUGAAUGCAACAAGGAAGAAAACAAGGAAGAAAAGAGGAGCAUUUUGAGACCAUAUGGAGGAAGACGCUUGGAAAGAAAAUUGUUUAGAGUUUUCAGUCCUCAACGUUUUACUUAAGCUUGGUUGUAGAUCUUGGAUCAAGUUGCUUUUAUUUCAGAGCCCUUUAGCACGAGAGAAGUUCGACAUCGUUGCAAGAACGUGGCGUCUAGCUAGAACCGUCCGGACUGAGACUACAUGGAGGUCGACCGGAUGCACCUUGCAUUUCGGGGAGGCUUAUGUGAGAGUUGUUGAUGUAACUAUUUUAGUUAGACUAUGUGAUGUGGUAUCUCUAUGUAUUUAAAGUUAUAAGAUUACGGAUACAUAUAUAUUUGUUGUGAUAUAUACAUGUUAGACAUUAAACUCCUAGAGUUUAUGUUUUAUGAGAUGUUGUAUUUGGAGUUAAUGUUGAGAUUAUGGAUUUAUAUAUUUAUGUA